ensembl:lncRNA
GUUCAGUCUUUUAUUCAGCUUUAUUCCUCUUUCUAACUCAGUGAUUCCACAUGAGCCAAAAACACAUUCAUGUUGCUUGAAAUGUUUGAUAAUGAAGCUCUUCUCGUCACCAUCCUUGGUUUUAAAUGUAAGCUCAUCUUACACACUGUGAAAGAGCCCAAAGUACACACUGACUUGGCUCUGUUCUGACGGGAUAUUUCACAGUCAGGCACCAAUGCAGACAGAAGGUAAACAUCCUACAUGUGAUGCACAACACACAGUUUUGCUAACAGAUUUUCCACGUUUUCACUUUGAACAUCAAAUUGCUAAUAUCAUCUCACAGCUGCAGUCCUCUGAGCAGUACGAGAUGAUGGCAGUGGUCAGAGACUGUACUGUGUGUGCUGUGUCAGACAUCACUUGUUUCAUCAGCAACAGCAACUGAAAGUGAGAAGUUUGGGGGAAAAAAGCACUACAAAUGUACAAAAACUGGCAUUCAUGUUUAUAAAAGACAGUUUUAAAGAAGCCUGAUCUUAAUAUAUCAUUAAAGUGAAACUUGUCCCUCUUUUAAAUAUUCAGCUAGCCACCUCCCCUUGUCGUUAACAAGGUUAAGAUGGAAAAGCUAAAUCAUUCCUUGCUGACAUAGACAAAAGCAUUUUGAGCAGUAAACCGUGUCUUUUGCCAUAAAUAUGUUGUCUGUUUUAUCUGUUUUAGCAAGCUAGGCAAAAUACUGGUUUGAAAGGAAAACCUUGUAAAGACAUAAAUAAGCAUGUGCUUGAUGGAUUCAUAAACGAUAGUGUGCUAAAAAUUGGUAACAUUCAAAAUCCCAAGUAGAUGGUGAUCACUUUGGGAAACGCAAAAAAGAAACAGCGUAAUUUCUGUAUUGCAGCAGAUGUUUGUUAGCCCUAGCAUCUAAGGUACGAUAAGAAAAACGCAUUUUCCAUUCAAAGUAACGACUUUUAAAACCCAGUAACGUGGCACAAUGAGGAAAACUUUUUUUAUGUCACAGUUACUGUUACUGACGCCUAGUCUUUGAUAUCACAUAAGCAGAAACACUGUCGACAACUAUAAAUGUUUGUUAUAUAAUAAGACUUUUGAUUAUUGACUUAAAAUCAUUUGUUGCAGACAAACAUUUUAAUUAUCAUCUUUGAUUACGACAGUUUUUUUCCUAUUUAACAUCCAAAUUUAGGUCUAUGUUCUGACCUAAACUUCCUUUUUUUAAUUAUACUUUGCAAAUUCUAACAAAAACUUUCACCACUUUUAAAAAAACUUUUCUUGUCUCUUUUUAUUUCUGCCCUUGUUGCCUCAAGAGAAUUUGCCUUUUCCCAGAACAGCACUAUAAAUAAGAACAUUAUUAAAUAAAGGUUAUAUUGAUUCACUGCACCAGCUCAUGGUACAAACCGAUUUCACAUGAAAAGUCCUGCCUGGCUCUAGUACAACUUAAGAUGGUGUUACUCCAACACAGUACAAUGUACAUGUUUUGGAGAAGUUGUUUCUUCACAUUUUGUUUGAAGAUUUUAAACUUUUUCUGAGCGCAGGCGUUUAUAACAAGCACAGAAACACACCAAAGUUGGAGGAACCAUCUGAAGAGUAAGUAAACACACGGCUACGUAUGCUAAUGUUUGUGAGACUACGAUUCUGAUCUGACUGUGAAAUACACAGUGGAUGAUAAGAUGAAAAGAGUGAA